rnacentral:lncRNA from 1 species
GCCUCAGCCCUUCUCCAGCCCUAUGUAAGCCCUACAUUACCCAUUCUCUGCUGAGAUGGAGAGCAGAAAUGACAAAGUGCAGAAGGAGAGGUAGGAGCAGUGGGUGUCCCUGAGUCCCACAAGCCCUGUAGAGCUGUGCAUUGCCAAAUACUUGCCCUCUCUCUGCUGGAUUCUUGACUAACUUCUGCACAGGAGCGACUGAGGAGCUUCCAUACCAAGGUUCACACUCACAACGGAUUACUGCAUGGUUGCAGGUACUUGGGGACUUCAAGAAUUGUGUUGGUCUGCCUGUGUGGUACUUUGACUCCAUCCACC